rnacentral:rRNA from 1 species
AAUGAACGUUGGCGGCGUGGAUUAGGCAUGCAAGUCGAGCGAGAACCCAGCAAUGGGGGACGAGCGGCGAAAGGGAAGUAGUAAUGUGUAGAUCAUCUGCCCUCCGGGCCCGGGAUAGCUGCGGGAAACUGCAGGUAAUACCGGAUAAUAUCUCCGGAUCAAAGGUGUGAUUCCGCCUGGGGAUGAGUCUACAUCCUAUUAGCUAGUU